GACGUAGGGCGCGAGCGUUGUCCGGAUUUAUUGGGCGUAAAGGGCGUGUAGGCGGCCAGGUAGGUCUGCUGUGAAAACUCGAGGCUCAACCUCGAGACGUCGGCGGAAACCAUCUGGCUAGAGUCCGGAAGAGGAGAGUGGAAUUCCUGGUGUAGCGGUGAAAUGCGCAGAUAUCAGGAAGAACACCCGUGGCGAAGGCGGCUCUCUGGGACGGUACUGACGCUGAGACGCGAAAGCGUGGGGAGCGAACAGG
rnacentral:rRNA from 1 species